GAUGAACGCUGGCGGCGUGCCUAAUACAUGCAAGUCGAGCGAACGGACGAGGAGCUUGCUUCUCUGAUGUUAGCGGCGGACGGGUGAGUAACACGUGGAUACCCUACCUAUAAGACUGGGAUAACUUCGGGAAACCGGCGCUAAUACCGGAUAAUAUUUUGAACCGCAUGGUUCAAAAGUGAAAGACGGUCUUGCUGUCACUUAUAGAUGGAUCCGCGCUGCAUUAGCUAGUUGGUAAGGUAACGGCUUACCAAGGCAACGAUGCAUAGCCGACCUGAGAGGGUGAUCGGCCACACGGGAACGGAGACACGGUCCAGACUCCUACGGGAGGCAGCAGUAGGGAAUCUGCCGCAAUGGGCGAAAGCCUUACGGAGCAACGCCGCGUGAGUGAUGAAGGCCUUCGGAUCGUAAAACUCUGUUAUUAGGGAAGAACAGAUGUGUAAGUAACUGUGCACAUCUUGACGGUACCUAAUCAGAAAGCCACGGCUAACUACGUG
rnacentral:rRNA from 1 species